AUUGAACGCUAGCGGGAUGCCUUACACAUGCAAGUCGAACGGCAGCAUAAGAGAGCUUGCUCUCUUGAUGGCGAGUGGCGAACGGGUGAGUAAUACAUCGGAACGUGCCUAGUAGUGGGGGAUAACUACUCGAAAGAGUGGCUAAUACCGCAUGCGAUCUACGGAUGAAAGCGGGGGACCUUCGGGCCUCGCGCUAUAGGGUUGGCCGAUGGCUGAUUAGCUAGUUGGUGGGGUAAAGGCCUACCAAGGCGACGAUCAGUAGCUGGUCUGAGAGGACGACCAGCCACACUGGGACUGAGACACGGCCCAG
rnacentral:rRNA from 1 species